GAUGAAGAACGUAGCGAAAUGCGAUACUUGGUGUGAAUUGCAGAAUCCCGUGAACCAUCGAGUCUUUGAACGCAAGUUGCGCCCGAAGCCACUAGGCCGAGGGCACGCCUGCUUGGGCGUCACACGCCGUUGCCCCCCCAUCUACUCCUUCGGGAUUGCGGGGGGGCGGAUGAUGGCCUCCUGUGCGCCUAGCCGCGCGGUUGGCAUAAAUACCAAGUCCUCGGCGACGCACGCCACGACAAUCGGUGGUUGCGAAACCUCGGUUGCCCGUCGUGUGCGUUCGUCGCGCAUCGAGGGCUCGAAAAAAUGCUCGGCUCCGGCUGGGCUUUCAACGCGACCCCAGGUCAGGCGGGGUUACCCGCUGAAUUUAAGCAUAUCAAUAAGCGGAGGA
rnacentral:misc_RNA from 1 species